rnacentral:rRNA from 1 species
GACGAACGCUGGCGGCGUGCCUAAUACAUGCAAGUAGAACGCUGAAGAGAGGAGCUUGCUCUUCUUGGAUGAGUUGCGAACGGGUGAGUAACGCGUAGGUAACCUGCCUGGUAGCGGGGGAUAACUAUUGGAAACGAUAGCUAAUACCGCAUGAAAUUGCUUAUCGCAUGAUAAUUGAUUGAAAGAUGCAAUUGCAUCACUACCAGAUGGACCUGCGUUGUAUUAGCUAGUUGGUGAGGUAACGGCUCACCAAGGCGACGAUACAUAGCCGACCUGAGAGGGUGAUCGGCCACACUGGGACUGAGACACGGCCCAGACUCCUACGGGAGGCAGCAGUAGGGAAUCUUCGGCAAUGGGGGGAACCCUGACCGAGCAACGCCGCGUGAGUGAAGAAGGUUUUCGGAUCGUAAAGCUCUGUUGUAAGAGAAGAACGGGUGUGAGAGUGGAAAGUUCACACUGCGACGGUAUCUUACCAGAAAGGGACGGCUAACUACGUG